rnacentral:rRNA from 1 species
GGACGACGCUGGCGGCGUGGAUUAGGCAUGCAAGUCGGACGGUAGGGCUUUAUCGUAAGAUAGAGUUUGAGAGUGGCGAACGGGUGAGUAACACGUAGGAAUCUACCCUUAAGACGGGGGACAACCCAGGGAAACUUGGGCUAAUACCGGAUGAGAGUGCGAGAGAUUGCAUUUAAAAGGAUGGCGAAAGUUGUCGCUUAGGGAUGAGCCUGCGGUCUAUUAGUUAGUUGGUGAGGUAAGAGCUCACCAAGGCGAUGAUAGAUAGGCGGCCUUAACGGGUGGUCGCCCACACUGGGAUUGAGAUACGGCCCAGACUCCUACGGGAGGCAGCAGUGAGGAAUAUUGGACAAUGGGCGCAAGCCUGAUCCAGCCAUGCCGCGUGCAGGAUGACGGUCCUAUGGAUUGUAAACUGCUUUUGCACAGGAAGAAACAACGCUACGUGUAGCGUCUUGACGGUACUGUGAGAAUAAGGAUCGGCUAACUCCGUG